rnacentral:lncRNA from 1 species
UUGCCAAAGAUGUGCUCGUCGCCCGUGACGGUGAGGAAAAAAGACGAGCCUAUCUCCAAGAAGCGAACAAAGAUGUAGAUGGUAGAAAAAAAAGAAUAGAAAGUAAAAAUAAAAAAAAAAUUUCUUUUUGAAAAACCAUUAUAUAUUGUUGAUGCUACCGAAAAAUAUUAAAAUUAGAAAUAGAAGAAGAAGAUGAAGGUUGCACCGUUAAAAUAAAAUUGCACCAUUUUACAAGAAAAUUAUAUUGUUUAAUAUGAACGUUGCACUCUUUGAGAUGAAAAUUACACUCUUUAAAAUAAAAAUUGCACUAUGUCGACAAAAAUUGUACUGUUUUAGAGAAAAAUAUACUAUUCUUCGACCCUCGUAGUCUCAUCAUCUCUUUCUUCCUCUUCCCUUGAACCCCUCCUUUCAUUCCCUUUCUGACCCCCAUCAAUCAUCAACGCGAGCCUCUCUAUCCCGCCUGCGCUGCAUCGCAGUGCCGAAAUAUGAAAACAACCUCAUUGCCUCUAUCCGCGUUGCCUUCACACGAGUUCGCUCUGAGUUCUCCUUCUCCUUCUCUGGUGAGUUCUCCUUCUCCUUAGUUUAUUGCCUCAUUUUUUGGACGUAUUUCCAGGCACGCACGUGAUCACUCCAUACUUAGAUGCAACGCCAUUGAAAUUUGAAAAAUAUAUGUUAAUGCUAUUUGCCUAGAGCGUGUUUUAUAUAUAUAUAUAUAUAUAUAUAUAUAUAUAUAUAUAUAUAUAUAUANAUACUUUACAUAUAGUUAGAGUCAGAAAUUGCAACUAAUUAAAGUUUGAGUAUUAAAAAUUAUAAAAAUAAUAAAAUUAUAUUUAUAAUAAUAGUAAGAGUUGAGGAUUAAAAUAUCAUAUACUUUACAUAUAGUUAGAGUCAGAAAUUGCAACUAAUUAAAGUUUGAGUAUUAAAAAUUAUAAAAAUAAUAAAAUUAUAUUUAUAAUAAUAGUAAGAGUUCAGGAUUAAAAUAUCAUAUACUUUACAUAUAGUUAGAGUCAGAAAUUGCAACUAAUUAAAGUUUGAGUAUUAAAAAUUAUAAAAAUAAUAAAAUUAUAUUUAUAAUAAUAGUAAGAGUUGAGGAUUAAAAUAUCAUAUACUUUACAUAUAGUUAGAGUCAGAAAUUACAACUAAUUAAAGUUUGAGUAUUAAAGCGUCAUGUGCCCUGUAGCUUGAGCAAGAAAAUGUAACACAUUAACAUUUGAGAACUAAAGCGUUACGUGUCUUAUAAUUUGAAAUAAAAAACGUAGUUUAUUCUUUUUAUAUAUUAAUUUUAUUUUAGACGAAGACAAAACUCUGCACGAUAUGUUAUACCAUCUAAUAAAUUUUAGAAUAUCUAAUUGUUAAAAUUAAAAAUCGAUUAAUCAUAUUUUGGAUAUUACAAAAGAUUUUGAAUGUGAAAUUGAUUGCUCAUCAGAUUAUAAAUAUGGUAUUGAAAUUUGAUAUGAAAAUCAAAGUAAAAACGUACAGAACUUUUUAGAACUAUAUAUAAACUAUUUUGAAUUAGAUAGGUAUCCAACCUUUCAAAAUUUUAUUUCUACUAUCCAAUUUUUCUAAAUGUUAAAUUUAAGUCAAAAUUUAAAUCUAUCGUUUAGCUUACAAAUUUAGUUAAUAUACUUCGUGUGAUUUUCGCAACUAAAUUUAUUAAAUUAAAUAUUAACUUAAACUUUAUCGAUCUCUUUUUCAUUAUUUAUUGUACAAUUUAUAUUUAAGUGAUCAAUAUUAUAAAAUUAAAAUUAUGUUUUAGUACAUGCAAUGUAAACUAUUUAAAAAUACACAUAAAUAAUUAUAUAUUUUAAAUUUUUACAAUAAAAAAGAGGAGAUUUAGAUUGAAUUUAGAAAAAAAAUUUAAUUCCUGUAGUCCUAAUUAGUAGACUGUGGAGAGACAAAAAAAAACAAAGGUGGCCCAACACCUACCCCCUCCCCCUCGAGCUCUCCGUACUAGUCACGUGGGCCUUAAAAUAAUUGAGAAUUCAUAUAAUUGAACAGAUACUGUGUAUAGAGAGAGGAUGAGAUAAUCAUAUAAUUGAACAGAUACUGUGUAUAGAGAGAGGAUGAGAUAAUUUGUUAUCUGUUUUGUUCAUAUUUUUUUAGAAAUAAUUGCCUAUAUACUUUUCAUACGUUUAAAAUUAUCCGAUUUAUUCGUACAUUUUUUUUUUCUAAAAUACCUCUCAUAUGUUCCAUCUUUGUUGCAAAACAUUCUUGUAGUUAUCUCCUGUUAAGUUAGCUUGGGUUAAACGUGAAUUAGAUAUCUACUACAGUUAAAAAAAAUUAAAAUGCCUAUUUUGCCCUAACGUAAUGGUAAAUUAAAAAUGUUGGUGACAGUAGAGGAGUAUAUUGGAAAAGAUCAAAAGUCAAAAUAUUUUUUGUGCUCUUGACUUUAAGGGCAAAUAAGAAAGUCAAUAAUGGUGGAGGGGUAUAUUUGAAAGGGCAAAAUGGUAAUUUUACAGAGAUAACAGGGUUAAUUAACAGAUUUUAACUCUAGAGGUAUAUUGAAAAUAGGUUGUAAUGUAAAAAGGCAAAUAAGAAAGUCAGUGAUGAUGGAGGGGUAUAUUUGAAAGGGCAAAAUAGUAAUUUUACAGAGAUAACAGAGUUAAUUAACAGAUUUUAACUCUAGAGGUAUAUUGAAAAUAGGUUGUAAUGUAAAAAAGAUAUUUUUAGUAUUAGCCUUCUAAGAGGGAUAAAUUGAAAAAUUAAAAAUUUUUCAGGAAUAUAUAAGAAAUUAUUCUUAUUUUUUAAUGAACUUAUAACUAGAAAUAUGAAGUAAUAAGGUUUUUGAAUUUGGUAUCUUGUCUUGUCUUUAGCAUUAAUGGUUGGUUCCUACUACACAGUAGGUGCGUGUGGUUGGUUCCUGCUACACAGCAGGUGCAAUUGAACUGUAUACUUCACCUGAUUCAUGAGUGGGAUAUUAAAAUUAUAUAUAUCUCCGCUAUUUUUUAGUUAGAUUGAUUUGGUCAUCAGUACAUUUGUAACGUUCACAUGGGAGCAGUCGCUAUAAGAAAUUUCAAUAUAAGGACGCUUUUGAGAUGACGUUUGGAUCGAGGAAGCGUCCCCUAGCUAACGUUUUUACAAUAUAACAAAUAUCGACGUUUCAAAAGGCGUAAACUAAUUUACUAAAUGAUAAAUUUUAUUAUUAAAUUUUAACUUUUCAAUUAUUCAAAGUGUCAGGAUUUUAAAAAAAAUUCUGACGUUUUAAAGCGUCGAAAUAUAUUUUACCGACGCUUGGUACAAGAUCGAGCCGGUAUAUACGUGGCAACUAUUCAUUUACUGAUGCUUUAAUCGACGCUUUCAAAUGCGGUGCUCAACUGUAUAAUGAGGCUUUUAAGCACCAUUAAAUAAUAAUUAAAAAAAACGUCUUUAAAUGUUAAUUUUUUUAUUGUGUGUAUUUUCAUUUGAUGGACCGAAUAGAUAGAAAAAAAAAAAAUUUAGUGUGCAGCUCUCCAAUGACUCUUUUUUUCUAAGGUACUGUUUAGUUCGGAUAUAAGUAAGAACUAGCUAUUACAAGGAUAGGUACAAAUAUGAGGAUAAGAAAAAUAGUGUUUGGGUGAAAAUUGGGUUGUUCCCGGAGAUAAGAACAAUUUUAGAUAGUUUUAUAUAAAAAAUGAAAGUGUUGGUGGGGAUAACCGAGAACUACUAUUCUCGAAUAAAAAAUUAGCGUUUGGGUAUAAAAAAGGAUAAGGGCCUAUUUCUAUCCCUAUGCCCUAACCAAACGCUGUCUAAAGCUUUAGUAUUAAAAAGAUUUAACAAAUUAUUGAAUAAAGACAAAACUAAUAUAUAAUAGUAGAUCGGAAGCUUUCCAAAGAAUCUUCACUGAAAUUUUAUGAGGAUGAAUGGGGCCGAAUAACAACAAACCGGAAAAUUAAAUACAUCGUACGUUCCACCUGUUUACAACCACUACAGUAGCUCAGUGGUAACGAAUCUUCAAAUUUUAAAAGUACAUGGAUAUAUAUAUUCCAUUAAUUUCGACAUAUAUAUAUAUUAAUUUCGACAUAUAUAUAUACAUAAACCAUCUUUGAAAUGCGCUCUCUGGUUGAUUAAUUAAUUAAUUAUCAUGUGCAAUGGAACAACCUGGAUAUAUAAAGUAUUUGGUGCAAUGCUUAAUGUAUCAUAAUAAUAUUUGGUGCAAUGCUUAAUGUAUCAUAAUAAUGUGUUUUACUAUACAAAGUGCCACCUAAGAUUCGUGAUUAAUUAUUAUUUAUCUCAUGCAUGUUUUGUUUUGGCCUAUGAUAUUUGAUGCAUAUAUAUAUAUAUAUAUUGAUAAAAAUGUGUAAAACUUACCUCAACUAUAUAUAUAUAUAUCACCUAUUUGGAUUUAACUAUCUAAUUCUUAAAGUUUUUAAUUUUGCUAUUUGAUCGCCAUUUAAUUUAGUUGAUUUGAGACAGUUAGUGACUUUUUAACUAUAAAAUUUGAAUACGACAUUUAUCUUCAUGGGUUUAACUAGUAUAUUUUAUGUAACUUAUGUAACUAUAUAUCUUGAGAAGUGAUUGAUAAUUAUAUAGCAAGUCUAGAAGUGGUCUCAACUAAACCAAAAGUUUACAAUUAACUUCUUUUGCUUCUUUACUUUUUCUUAAAACAAAAAUAAUAAAUCUUAUUGUUCGACUUAGUUGCAUUACAAGCUACUCAUUUUGUUUAUUCUCAGCAUUUUUUUUUUUUCGAUAAGGAAUCGUGAUGAUUUUCUACGGCAUCGCAGGUCGAUUCGUCAACUCCCACCCUGUGCUAAGUUGUUCAUGAAUAGUGGUGACAAUUUCUCGAUCCUUUCUUUCAGAAUUUAACGACGAGGAACUAAAUUAUUGUUCUCGUGAACUGCAACAAAUUAUAAGUAGGUAACUGAUCGUUCCCAAAGCAAGUAGCAAAGGAUUUGGUGGUUGGUACCCGAAACCUAAGUUCGAAUCCUAAUUGAUUCACAUUUCUAACUAAGUUUAUUUCUAAAUAAAAUAAAAUGAAGCGUAUAGCAUGCUACCUAUCUCUCUAAAAAAAAAAAAAAAGUGGGUAUAAUAUAUUUCUCUGUAUAGAUUCCAAAAGUGAUUGCCGCAUCUUAUUGUAAACUUAGAAAAUUUUUUUUUUUUGGGAUCAAAAUAAACAAGUAACUAGGUGGCCUAAAACUUAAAAAUUACUUACUUCUCAAGAUGAGUUAUUAAAUUAAACCACGCGGUACUAAGAAAUUGCACAAUUACAACCACGAAGAAUCAUGGACAUUGUGGAGAUUACAUUAGGCACAAAAUUAAGAACGUUUCAAAGAAAAAAGAAAAGCUUUAAGCAAAUGAUAAUUUGAAACGUACGUUAGGUCUUAAUUUAUAUGGUAUCAUUAUCAUCUUUGUUUAGCUUUUAUACAUAAAUUUUAUACGAGUAAGGGUAGUAGAUAAUUGCUACUGUACUAUAUAUAUAUAUAUAUAUAUAUACACAUAUUUAUCAUAUUACUUUGGGGAGAGAAAAACUUAUUUGCUGUUUCUUUUUCCGAUUAUUUACCUUUUUUACAAAGGAAAAUUAACUAGAAUGCACAAAAAUAGAUGGCAAUAAUGAGGUUUGAUCACUAGCAUGUUAAUCAACUGCAUUCAAAAAUAUUUUUUUAAAAAUAAAAAUAAAUAGUAAUGAUACCAAAUGUGGCAUCAAUCUCUAUCAUCAUUACAUUGCACCGAGCGAAAACUGUCGUAGUUACAAAAUAUUAUUUAGGCAUGCAUAAAAUUAUUCAGUAAAUUUGAGUUGCUAAUUCAUACUCGUCUGCAGGCUGGCGGGUAAAUAUGUGGAUUAUCCGCAAUGUACUCUUUUUUAUUUUUAUGUUUUUAAUAUAAAAUUUGAAUGUAUAAUUUUUAAAAAUUCAUAUCAUAAUCUACUAUUUAUAACAUCAUAAUAUGCAGUAGAUAAUACAAUAUUUAAAAUAAUAUAAAAAUCGAAAAUUAAAAAAAUUAAGAUCCAAGUCAGUACAUUUUGAAUUAGUCGUGAGUACCUGCGAUAUUGAUAGAAAUUAUUGGAUCUAAUCAUCAUAUAUUAAUUAAUAAUUAAUAUUGCUACUCCCGUACAAUACGCAUUUAUAUUAUAUUUUGACUUUUUUGUAAAGAUUGCUACAUGCCACGUGCAACAUCCUUUCCUUUCUAUAAAUUCGCAACGACAAUCGAGGCCAUGACCUACUCUUAGUUUAAUUACUUAUUUUAUUAUCCUAGUUGUUUCCAUUUUGAGUUAUUUUUAAUUUCUUUGUGAAGAUGCACAUGUAGCAGGCUUCAAUUUAGGGCCUGAAUAUAAUAAUUUUAUUAUGGUCAAUUUGUAUAAAGUAUUCACUAAUUUUGUAAUUUUGCAAAGGUGGGUGGCUACUUUAAAUUUUAUAGAUUCGGUAUGAAUUUUUAACAAAUUAAUCAAAAUAUUCUUAUUUCUUUCUCUUUCUUUAUUUUUUUUUUCUUCCAAUGGUAACGAGGGCCCUGCCACCUCCUCUUCUUCCAUCUCCACCUCUGUCGGUUCCGGCGGUUCUCAGUGAUGGUAUCGAGGGCGGCGUCGCCUCCUCUUCCUUCGCCUUCUAGUCUGCUGGCGCCGAAGGAGUAGGAGAACUUUAAGCGGGCCCAAGUGAGGGCGGAGCAGACGGAGGCGAUGAGGUCAUUGCCAAAGAUGUGUUCGUCGCCCGUGACAGUGAGGAAAAAAGACGAGCCCAUCUCCAAAGAGCGAACAAAGAUGUAGAUGGUAGAAAAAAAAAAUAGAAAGUAAAAAUUAAAAAAAAAAUUCUUUUUGAAAAACCAUUAUAUAUUGUUGAUGCUACCGAAAAAUAUAAAAAUCAGAGAAAAUAGAAGAAGAAGAUGAAGGUUGCACCGUUAAAAUAAAAUUGCACCAUUUUACAAGAAAAUUAUAUUUUUUAAUAUGAACGUUGCACUCUUUGAGAUGAAAAUUACACUCUUUAAAAUAAAAGUUGCACUAUGUCGACAAAAAUUGUACUGUUUUAAAAAAAAUUACACUAUUCUUCGACCCUUAUAGUCCCAUCAUCUCUUUCUUCCUCUUCCCUUGAACCCCUCCUUUCAUUCCCUUUCUGACCCCCAUCAAUCAUCAACGCAAGCCUCUCUACCCCGCCUGCGCGCCGCAUCGCAGUGCCAAAAUAUGAAAACAACCUCAUUGCCUCUAUCCGCGUUGCCUUCACACAAGUUCGCUCUGAGUUCUUCUUCUCCUUCUCUGGUGGAGACGGAGGCGGAGGCAGAGGAAGUGUGAGAUACUGAACCUUAGCAAAUUAGCAAGGUUACAGUAUAAGUUAUGCUUGAUUGAGCUUGAGACGUUUUGCGCAAAAUAGAUGUAAAAAAACAGACUUUAAAACUCAAGUUUCAAAGUAGAG